rnacentral:rRNA from 1 species
AUUGAACGCUGGCGGCAGGCUUAACACAUGCAAGUCGAACGAUGAAACUCUAGCUUGCUAGAGAAGAUUAGUGGCGGACGGGUGAGUAACAUUUAGGAAUCUGCCUAGUAGUGGGGGAUAGCUCGGGGAAACUCGAAUUAAUACCGCAUACGACCUACGGGUGAAAGGGGGCGCAAGCUCUUGCUAUUAGAUGAGCCUAAAUCAGAUUAGCUAGUUGGUGGGGUAAAGGCCCACCAAGGCGACGAUCUGUAACUGGUCUGAGAGGAUGAUCAGUCACACCGGAACUGAGACACGGUCCGGACUCCUACGGGAGGCAGCAGUGGGGAAUAUUGGACAAUGGGGGCAACCCUGAUCCAGCCAUGCCGCGUGUGUGAAGAAGGCCUUUUGGUUGUAAAGCACUUUAAGCAGGGAGGAGAGGCUAAUGGUUAAUACCCAUUAGAUUAGACGUUACCUGCAGAAUAAGCACCGGCUAACUCUGUGCCAGCAGCCGCGGUAAUACAGAGGGUGCGAGCGUUAAUCGGAAUUACUGGGCGUAAAGCGAGUGUAGGUGGCUCAUUAAGUCACAUGUGAAAUCCCCGGGCUUAACCUGGGAACUGCAUGUGAUACUGGUGGUGCUAGAAUAUGUGAGAGGGAAGUAGAAUUCCAGGUGUAGCGGUGAAAUGCGUAGAGAUCUGGAGGAAUACCGAUGGCGAAGGCAGCUUCCUGGCAUAAUAUUGACACUGAGAUUCGAAAGCGUGGGUAGCAAACAGGAUUAGAUACCCUGGUAGUCCACGCCGUAAACGAUGUCUACUAGCCGUUGGGGUCCUUGAGACUUUAGUGGCGCAGUUAACGCGAUAAGUAGACCGCCUGGGGAGUACGGCCGCAAGGUUAAAACUCAAAUGAAUUGACGGGGGCCCGCACAAGCGGUGGAGCAUGUGGUUUAAUUCGAUGCAACGCGAAGAACCUUACCUGGUCUUGACAUAGUGAGAAUCCUGCAGAGAUGCGGGAGUGCCUUCGGGAAUUCACAUACAGGUGCUGCAUGGCUGUCGUCAGCUCGUGUCGUGAGAUGUUGGGUUAAGUCCCGCAACGAGCGCAACCCUUUUCCUUACUUGCCAGCGGGUUAAGCCGGGAACUUUAAGGAUACUGCCAGUGACAAACUGGAGGAAGGCGGGGACGACGUCAAGUCAUCAUGGCCCUUACGACCAGGGCUACACACGUGCUACAAUGGUAGGUACAGAGGGUUGCUACACAGCGAUGUGAUGCUAAUCUCAAAAAGCCUAUCGUAGUCCGGAUUGGAGUCUGCAACUCGACUCCAUGAAGUCGGAAUCGCUAGUAAUCGCAGAUCAGAAUGCUGCGGUGAAUACGUUCCCGGGCC